rnacentral:rRNA from 1 species
AGAGUUUGAUCCUGGCUCAGGACGAACGCUGGCGGCGGGCUUAACACAUGCAAGUCGAACGAGGUCCAUCUUGUAGCAAUACAAGUGAAGACCUAGUGGCGAACGGGUGAGGAACACGUGAGAAAUUUGCCCCGAACUUUGGGAUAACAGUUGGAAACGACUGCUAAUACCGAAUGCCGUUACGAAGUGGCAUCACUUUGUAACGAAAGAAUUUCGGUUCGGGAGAAUCUCGCGGCCUAUCAGCUUGUUGGUGAGGUAACGGCUCACCAAGGCUACGACGGGUAGCUGGUCUGAGAGGAUGAUCAGCCACACUGGGACUGAGACACGGCCCAGACUCCUACGGGAGGCAGCAGUGGGGAAUCUUGUGCAAUGGACGAAAGUCUGACACAGCCACGCCGCGUGCGGGAAGAAGGCCUUCGGGUUGUAAACCGCUUUCAGCAGGAACGAAAAUGACGGUACCUGCAGAAGAAGGAGCGGCCAACUACGUGCCAGCAGCCGCGGUGACACGUAGGCUCCAAGCGUUGUCCGGAUUUAUUGGGCGUAAAGAGCUCGUAGGCGGUUCAGCAAGUCGGGUGUGAAAACUCUGGGCUCAACCCAGAGCCUGCACCCGAAACUGCUGUGACUAGAGUUCGGUAGGGGAGUGGGGAAUUCCUAGUGUAGCGGUGAAAUGCGCAGAUAUUAGGAGGAACACCGAUGGCGAAGGCACCACUCUGGGCCGAAACUGACGCUGAGGAGCGAAAGCGUGGGUAGCAAACAGGAUUAGAUACCCUGGUAGUCCACGCCGUAAACGAUGGGCACUAGUGUGGGUCUCUAACCAACGAGAUCCGCGCCGUCGCUAACGCAUUAAGUGCCCCGCCUGGGGAGUACGGUCGCAGACUAAAACUCAAGGAAUUGACGGGGGCCCGCACAGCAGCGGAGC